UACGUAGGGGGCAAGCGUUGUCCGGAAUCAUUGGGCGUAAAGAGCGUGUAGGCGGCCCGGUAAGUCCGCUGUGAAAGUCCAGGGCUCAACCCUGGAAUGCCGGUGGAAACUGUCGGGCUAGAGUCCGGAAGAGGCGAGUGGAAUUCCUGGUGUAGCGGUGAAAUGCGCAGAUAUCAGGAGGAACACCAAUGGCGAAGGCAGCUCGCUGGGACGGUACUGACGCUGAGACGCGAAAGCCAGGGGAGCAAACGGG
rnacentral:rRNA from 1 species